rnacentral:rRNA from 1 species
CGGACCGGCGCACGGGUGAGUAACGCGUAUGCAACUUACCUAUCAGAGGGGGAUAACCCGGCGAAAGUCGGACUAAUACCGCAUGAAGCAGGGGCCCCGCAUGGGGAUAUUUGCUAAAGAUUCAUCGCUGAUAGAUAGGCAUGCGUUCCAUUAGGCAGUUGGCGGGGUAACGGCCCACCAAACCGACGAUGGAUAGGGGUUCUGAGAGGAAGGUCCCCCACAUUGGUACUGAGACACGGACCAA